AGAGUUUGAUCCUGGCUCAGAUUGAACGCUGGCGGUAUGCCUUACACAUGCAAGUCGAACGGUAGAGGAGCAAUCCUCGAGAGUGGCGAACGGGUGAGUAAUACAUCGGAACGUGCCCAGUCGUGGGGGAUAACGUAGCGAAAGCUACGCUAAUACCGCAUACGACCCGAGGGUGAAAGCGGGGGACUCGCAAGAGCCUCGCGCGAUUGGAGCGGCCGAUGGCAGAUUAGGUAGUUGGUGGGGUAAAGGCCCACCAAGCCUGCGAUCUGUAGCUGGUCUGAGAGGACGACCAGCCACACUGGGACUGAGACACGGCCCAGACUCCUACGGGAGGCAGCAGUGGGGAAUUUUGGACAAUGGGCGAAAGCCUGAUCCAGCCAUACCGCGUGCGGGAAGAAGGCCUUCGGGUUGUAAACCGCUUUUGUCAGGGAAGAAAUACUUCGGGCUAAUACCCUGGGGUGAUGACGGUACCUGAAGAAUAAGCACCGGCUAACUACGUGCCAGCAGCCGCGGUAAUACGUAGGGUGCAAGCGUUAAUCGGAAUUACUGGGCGUAA
rnacentral:rRNA from 1 species